rnacentral:rRNA from 1 species
GCUUAUCACCAUUCCAGAUCGAAUAUACCCGAUCUCGUCUGAUCUCGGAAGUCAAGCAAUCUCGGGCUCGGCUAGCCUUGGAUGGGUGACCGCUUGGGAAUACCAAGUGUGAUAAGCA